GAUACAGAAAUAGCUCUCCUGGCUAGAGAUAUCAAGUCUAUGGUCCAAAGGGAAGAACAAUGGAGACAUUGAUUUAUGCUUUAUUCGUAUUCUUGUGGCUGCAUCUGAGCUGGGUCAUCCAAGGAGAGAAGGUGGAUCAGCACCCUUCUACUCUGAGGGUCCAGGAGGGAGACAGCGCUGUUAUCAACUGUACUUAUUCAGACACUGCUUCAUCCUACUUCCCUUGGUAUAAGCAAGAAGUUGGAAAAGGUCCCCAGCAUAUUAUAGACAUCCGUUCAAAUAAGGAGAUAAAUCAAAUGCAAAGAUUCAUUGUUGUGUUGGAUAAGAAAGCCAAACAUUUCUCCCUGAACAUCACAGCUACCGAGCCUGGAGACUCAGCUGUCUACUUCUCUGGAGCCAGUGCACGAUGCUUCCCAGACACCUGCAGCCUGUACUCAAACCUGACACUGGGCUGAGCCCCACCUGCUUCCGUUUUUUGCAAAGACCUUCCAGUAUUGCAUUUUCCAUAUUGUUUUUUUUUGUAAGUGGAAACUAGCAUAUAGGCAUACAAAGUAUAUAAUACAUACAGUGGGUUCAAGAUGACCCAGAGAGGGUCAGAACAUUUUAUUAGGUGAUUGUUGUUUGACAGAUUCUUAUGUUUUCUAUGUUUAUUGUACAUAUUUAGAGUAUAUAAUGUGAUGUUUUGAUAUAUACAUACAUAGUGAAAAUGAACAUCUAGGUGAAGUGAUGUGAGAUGAAGAGGGAAAGGUGUGGCACAGAACUUCAUGCCUACUCUGGGCUCUUCAUGCCCAGGCACCCUCACAUCUUCAUCAAUCCUAAAGCUGCACGUAAUGGAUUCUUCCAGGGAACUAAGGAUGCUUUGUUUCGCAAGCCAAGUUUUAAAGAUGAAUUAACAUUUGCUAUUUGAUUCCUCUCCUAUAAUAUCCCUUUAGUAUCAGUUUCACAAUCCUUGUCAGAUAUGGGCUACUCUUUAGAAAAUUAUAUUUGUUAUUUUUCUGAUUAGUAAACACUACAUGUUAAGCAUAGAAAAUAUAUGAAAUAUAAUAUAUGAAAUUGAUUAUUUGUACCCUGAUAAGUAUUGCUAAUAUUUAGUCAAAAUUUGGAGAUGUAAUGUAAAAUGUAAGGACUAUAGUUAAUAAAGGUAUACUGUAUUAAAUAGAUUUUUAGCUACUGUCAAUUGUACAAAAAAUUAUGUGAUAGAUAUGUUAAUUUGUUUCAGCAUAUAACCACUUCACUAC